rnacentral:lncRNA from 1 species
AGACAUGCUGGGCCAUUUUAGAUCGUUGUAUAAGAAAGCACUGUAAAAACUCAAGGUGAUGUGAUGUUCCUCCUGGAAGGAUUUUGUAGCUUUUCUUCCUGAUGGCUUAUCUACCGAUCAAAGCAACUUCUACCUCACCAGCAGAUACAGAGGCAACUUCUUCCAUAGAUUUCUUCACCAGUUUUCCUUAGCUGUCUCCUUGGAACAUUUGAAAUCCUCUGGUUCUUUGGCACCCAAAUAUGAAGGUCAUUUCAUCAAAGGCCUAAAAUUUUCAUAGAGAGGAUUUGAGAAAGGUGAUCUCAAUAAAAUACAAAAAAAAAAAGGAAGAAAAGCUACAGUAAAAGAAAUAUUGCUACUUAUAUAUGCAAACGAAGACUGAGGACAACUAUUAUCAGCUUUCUACUCUUAAGAAUUAUUUAAGUUGCUACUCCUACUUCUACAUUUGGACAUUGGUUUACCAUGCCAUUUUUCCUUAUAUAUAUUUAAAAAAUCUCUUAAAAAUUAAAAUGGUAGUAUGCAUGUUUUCAGGCCAAAUAUAUAUUUCCAAACUGUUCUAAAUUUGUUACUACUGUGUUUUUACUCCUGAGUAAUCAAUAACAUUGAGUAAUAAAGACAGAAUUAUUUAUGUAUAAAUAAAAAUUCUCAUGAGAAUUUUUGUCUAUUUUUCCUUUUCUGAGUUGAAAAGCAGCCAUUUUCAACAUAGCUAAUUGUUGCUACAGUAUCAUUUUAAAUUAAUGUGGUACAGUGUAUGCUGAAAUAGCAGUGGAAAAAUAUUUAAGUUUUAACAAUGCUCUACUCAGGUAAAUAUCCCUGCAGGAAUCAAAAUUAAUAAAUAUUAUCUUCAGUAUACAUAAUACAAUAUAAUAUCUUUAAUAGGAGUUGCCAUUUUACUGAAUAUCUUCCAUUUGAUGUUUGUGAAAAGUUUGUUCAUUGACAUAGCUCAAUAAUAUUCCAUUUUACAAAUAUACCACAAUUAAUUAACCUAUCCUUCUGUAGAUAGACAUAUGGGUUUCUUUCCUUAUUAUACAUCAUAUUAAACUUUUAUAUUAUGAACAGUUCAUUGAAUCUAUUGAUCCAUUUGUGGAGAAUUUAUAUCUUUAUGAUAUUGAUUUUUCUUCCUAGAGGUAUAAUAUGCCUUUCCAUUUAUUUGAAUCAUUUUUAAUGUUUUAAAAUUUAGAUACAUUUAAUUAAUGUGUGUGUAUCUGUAUGUAAGCUUACUGCAAUGCUAAACAGGUAAAUAUUCAGAACACUCUGUAAAAAAAAAAAAAAGUUGAACUUCCACCUUAAUUACUGACUUUUUUUUAAUUAAUUGUAAGCAGAAAUGGGAUACUGUUUUCUCUGCCACAUUUCUGUCACCUGUGGUCAUAAUCCCUCGAGCUGUAUAAGGGAAGUUGUCUGUUCAAAUCAUGCAGUGUUCUUAUGUCACAAACCAAAACCUGAGUCUAUUAUGCUGAGCUAAUCUGCUUUGACCUGGGUAAUUUCCAUCCUGGGUUGAUCUGAUCUGCCAGGAGGUUUGGCCGUCAGAUUUUGGUGACUUCUGCUCCUCAGAGAAUUCUCAGAAUCCCAAAUUGCACCCCAUCUCACUAAGAGUGUGGAGAGGAAAAGACAGAAGGAUAGAAAAAGAGAAGGAGGAGGAAAAGGAAGUAUCUAUCUACAUGUUUAUAUCUAUACCUUUAUUUAUACUCACAGUAAAGGACAUUUGUCAGAAUAGCCCCCAAACACUAUUGCCGCACCAACAUCUAUUAAAAUAUAAACCAUCUUUAAUAAAUACUGAGCUGUGUAAAUAUUUAUUUGCAUGCAAAAGAAAAGCUCUUUAGUAUUCUUAAGCCAGACUGAGCAGUCAACAGAUGAUUUUGAUAAAUGUCUGUUCAUUACCUGAACAUUUCCAUUGCAAUAUAAAACAAAGAUUUCAUCUACAUUUUAUUUUUGCUCCAUGAAUGGUUCCACACUUUCUAAUCAGUGUUAUUUUUAAGAUUAAAUUUGGAUAGUAAUGUAAAUAUGGGAGGGGAAUGGGUGUCUAAGAGGAUUUUCUGGUUCAUAGUCAUUAUAAUAGUCACAAUAUACAAGAUAAUUU